CUUUUUAGUAUUGGAGAUUUUGUUACUUUGAGUAAAUUAGAGUGUUCAAAGCAACCAGUUAAAGCAUUUUACUGCGUUUGAAUACUACAGCAUGGAAUAACAAAAUUGAACAAGUCAGAAUUCUGUUCUUUUUUCUUAUUUUGGCUUAGUUACGAUUAAUAGGAGUAGCUUGGGGGCAUUUGUAUUCAGAUGUCAGAGGUGAAAUUCUUAGAUUUUCUGGAGACAAACAACUGCGAAAGCAUUUGCCUAAAAUACUUCCAUUAAUCAAGAACGAAAGUUAAGGGAGUGAAGACGAUCAGAUACCGUCGUAAUCUUAACCAUAAACUAUGCCGACUAGGUUUUGGAUGAAAAAUUUUUAAAUAAGAAAAUUCCUUUCGGGGAAAUUUCUUAGAUUGCUUCCUUCAGUACCUUAUGAGAAAUCAAAGUCUUUGGGUUCUGGGGCGAGUAUUCGCGCAAGCGAGAAAGUUAAAAGAAUUGACGGAAGGGCACCACCAGGCGUGGAGCUUGCGGCUUAAUUUGACUCAACACGGGGAAACUCACUAGUUUAAGACAAGAGUAGGAUUGACAGAUUAAUAGCUCUUUCUUGAUUUCUUGGAUGGUGAUGCAUGGCCGUUUUUAGUUCGUGAAUAUGAUUUGUCUGGUUAAUUCCGAUAACGAACGAGAUCUUAACCUGCUAAUUAGCGGCGAAUACGUUUAUAUUCUUAUCUGAAAUUGAAUAUAGCUGAAUUGCUAUCGAGAU
rnacentral:rRNA from 1 species